rnacentral:rRNA from 1 species
UGAGUACGAGCUGCUACGGCAGCGAAGUGGGUGAUGUCAAGCUUCCAAGAAAAGCCCUAUACCCGUUAAGGCAUGAUGGCCUGUACCCGAAACCGACACAGGUGGGGUGGUAGAGAAUACCGAGGGGCGCGAGAUAACUCUCUCUAAGGAACUCGGCAAAAUGGCCCCGUAACUUCGGGAGAAGGGGUGCCACCGCAAGGUGGUCGCAGUGAAGAGGCCCAGGCGACUGUUUACCAAAAACACAGGUCUCCGCUAAGUCGCAAGACGAUGUAUGGGGGCUGACGCCUGCCCAGUGCCGGAAGGUUAAGGAAGCUGGUCAGCGUAAGCGAAGCUGGCGACUGAAGCCCCGGUGAACGGCGGCCGUAACUAUAACGGUCCUAAGGUAGCGAAAUUCCUUGUCGGGUAAGUUCCGACCCGCACGAAAGGCGUAACGAUCUGGGCGCUGUCUCGGAGAGAGGCUCGGCGAAAUAGAAUUGUCUGUGAAGAUGCGGACUACGUGCACCCGGACAGAAAGACCCUAUGAAGCUUUACUGUAGCUUGGUAUUGUGCCCGGGCUCUGAAUGCGCAGGAUAGGUGGGAGGCUUUGAUCCAUUGCUUGUGGGUGAUGGUGAGCCAACGGUGAGAUACCACUCUUUCAGAGCUAGGGUUCUAACGGUCACCCGUCAUCCGGGGACCGGACAGUAUCAGGUGGGCAGUUUGACUGGGGCGGUCGCCUCCUAAAAGGUAACGGAGGCGCCCAGAGGUUCCCCCAGGCUGGUUGGAAAUCAGCCGACGAGUGUAAAGGCAGAAGGGAGCUUGACUGUGAGACCUACAAGUCGAACAGGGACGAAAGUCGGCCUUAGUGAUCCGACGGUUCUGAGUGGAAGGGCCGUCGCUCAACGGAUAAAAGUUACUCUAAGGAUAACAGGCUGAUCUCCCCCAAGAGUUCACAUCGACGGGGAGGUUUGGCACCUCGAUGUCGGCUCAUCGCAACCUGGGGCUGAAGUCGGUCCCAAGGGUUGGGCUGUUCGCCCAUUAAAGCGGUACGCGAGCUGGGUUCAGAACGUCGUGAGACAGUUCGGUCCAUAUCCGGUGCAUGCGCAGGAAUAUUGAGAGGAUUUCUCCCUAGUACGAGAGGACCGGGAGGAACGCACCUCUGGUGUGCCAGUUAUCGUGCCAACGGUAAACGCUGGGUAGCCAUGUGCGGAGAGGAUAACCGCUGAAAGCAUCUAAGUGGGAAGCCCACCUCAAGAUGAGUAUUCCCAUGGCGUUAGCCAGUAAGGUCACGGGAAGAACACCCGUUGAUAGGCUCUACGUGGAAGCCGGGUAACCGGUGAAGCGGAGGAGCACUAAUAGACCGAGGGCUUGA